CAAUAGUUGCGUCUCAUGAAGUAUGGGCUGGCCCAAUUAUCGACCGCCCAUAGACUCGAUGCUGGAGCUGAAUAUGACCGGGUGUGCGUGUGCGCCUAUGCGCAGCGGAAGAAGAUGAGGGUGAGCUCCGUGCGGGCGUCUCUGUCCUCCAGAUUGAAACCCAGUCUUCCAAAUCAACCCCUCAAGUUUUCCAAUAUUUCAUCUGCACCCACUCCGGUUAGGCUUCAGACUCCCCUCUUCCUCAACCCAGCAGAUUACAGGGCCACCUUAUCAGACCUCAAAAAAUGGCAUCUUUGGGCAAGAGGCUUAGCCUCCUCGGUUGGGACAAAAUUCUUGGACCUAGACAACGGCCCUGACUCGGCCCUCUUGCACAGGGAGCUCAACUGGCUCAUUGAGGAUUCGCUCGAGGACCCCAUUACACUUCUAUCGGAUAAUAGCGAUGAUAGCUUAGUGGUGCCAUUGAGGGCAUGUUUGGAUGAUCUUUAUAUGUUGUGGAAUCAAAGGAUUGAGGGGAGAAGGCCAUUCCAGUAUUUGGUUGGGUGUGAGCAUUGGAGGGAUUUGGUUUUGAGUGUUCAAGAAGGGGUUUUGAUUCCAAGGCCUGAGACUGAGCUGAUUGUGGACUUUGUCAGUGAUGUGACAAAAGAGAAUGAGGUGUUGAGGGAAGGGUUGUGGGCUGAUUUGGGGACCGGGAGCGGAGCGCUUGCGAUUGGGAUUGGGAGAAUUUUGGGUUCUUGUGGAGGAGUCAUUGCCACUGAUUUAAGCCCUGUUUCUGUAGCAGUUGCUUCUUAUAAUGUGCAGAGGUACUCUUUGCAGGAUAGAGUUGCAAUAAAGCAAGGAUCUUGGUUUGAACCUCUGAAGGAUGAUGAAGGAAAAUUUGCCGGAAUUGUUAGUAAUCCACCAUAUAUUCCCAGUGAAGAUAUUGGACGACUACAAGCUGAAGUAGGUAGACACGAACCAAAACUUGCGCUUGAUGGUGGUGCUGAUGGCAUGAAUGACCUUCUCCAUAUAUGUAAUGGCGCUGCUUCUAUGCUAAGACCUGGUGGAUUUUUCGCUUUUGAGGAAGACGGACUCAUUUUGAAGGGGUUAUUGCAAUCCUUUGAACUACCUUUUGUUGCUUCUCUGCUCUGAUUUCCAGAUUUGUUUUCUCUAACAUGGCUUGCUGUGAGACACCUGUUUCAAGAACUUUUAUAUCGGACGCAACUUAAUACCUGCAGUAGGAAAUGUAUCCUUACCUGAGGAGUAUGAAAGAGUGAAAAGAAUUUACAAAUAAUUUUGAUGGUUAUCGUGUCUGGAAGUUCCGGAAUGCUGUUUCCUCUUGUGGCAUUGUCUAAUAAACUAUUUGAGUGGAGAAUACAAGUCAGUAUGGAUCCUAAUGAUACACGAUACAAAUGGUGAAAAACAGAGCAACUUUCUCGUGGACUGCAUAGGAAGUCAAUCAGAAGGGAGAUUCUGUGAUGUUAAAGUUGCAUCAGAUUUUGCGGGGAUCAAGAGAUUUGUGACUGGCUAUAGAGCAGGAUAAGUUUUGAUACAAGCACUUGUCUGUGAUAAGUUUCUAGGAUCUUUUUAUUGAAAGCCUCUUCAGAUAACUUUGAUCCGUGUGAAUAGGACCAUGUUUAGCGUCUACCCAUUUAAUGAUUUCAUUUCGAAGUUGACUUGGAAUCACUUUGGCUCAUUAGUUCUCUAAGUAAAGUUAUGCUCAGUUUUAAAUGUAAAGUUAGACAAGUUUAAUGCACUCGUUGUAUACAAGUUGAAUAACUUCGGGUAAA